rnacentral:rRNA from 1 species
AGGGAAGGCGGGGGGCAGGCCUAACACAUGCAAGUCGAACGGUAACAGGAAGAAGCUUGCUUCUUUGCUGACGAGUGGCGGACGGGUGAAUAAUGUCUGGGAAACUGCCUGAUGGAGGGGGAUAACUACUGGAAACGGUAGCUAAUACCGCAUAACGUCGCAAGACCAAAGAGGGGGACCUUCGGGCCUCUUGCCAUCGGAUGUGCCCAGAUGGGAUUAGCUAGUAGGUGGGGUAACGGCUCACCUAGGCGACGAUCCCUAGCUGGUCUGAGAGGAUGACCAGCCACACUGGAACUGAGACACGAUCCAGACUCCUACGGGAGGCAGCAGUGGGGAAUAUUGCACAAUGGGCGCAAGCCUGAUGCAGCCAUGCCGCGUGUAUGAAGAAGGCCUUCGGGUUGUAAAGUACUUUCAGCGGGGAGGAAGGGAGUAAAGUUAAUACCUUUGCUCAUUGACGUUACCCGCAGAAGAAGCACCGGCUAACUCCGUG